GAUGAACGCUGGCGGCGUGCCUAAUACAUGCAAGUCGAGCGAACAGAUAAGGAGCUUGCUCCUUUGACGUUAGCGGCGGACGGGUGAGUUACACGUGGAUAACCUACCUAUAAGACUGGGAUAACUUCGGGAAACCGGAGCUAAUACCGGAUAACAUAUUGAACCGCAUGGUUCAAUAGUGAAAGGCGGCUUUGCUGUCACUUAUAGAUGGAUCCGCGCCGUAUUAGCUAGUUGGUAAGGUAACGGCUUACCAAGGCAACGAUACGUAGCCGACCUGAGAGGGUGAUCGGCCACACUGGAACUGGGACACGGUCCAGACUCCUACGGGAGGCAGCAGUAGGGAAUCUUCCGCAAUGGGCGAAAGCCUGACGGAGCAACGCCGCGUGAGUGAUGAAGGUCUUCGGAUCGUAAAACUCUGUUACCAGGGAAGAACAAAUGUGUAAGUAACUGUGCACAUCUUGACGGUACCUGAUCAGAAAGCCACGGCUAACUACGUG
rnacentral:rRNA from 1 species